rnacentral:rRNA from 1 species
UACGGGGGGGGCAAGCGUUGUUCGGAAUUACUGGGCGUAAAGGGCGCGUAGGCGGCCUGCUAAGUCGGACGUGAAAUCCCUCGGCUCAACCGAGGAACUGCGUCCGAUACUGGUGGGCUUGAAUCCGGGAGAGGGAUGUGGAAUUCCAGGUGUAGCGGUGAAAUGCGUAGAUAUCAGGAGGAACACCAGUGGCGAAGGCGGGUCUCUGGACAGUUCCUGACACUGAGGCACGAAGGCCAGGGGAGCAAACGGG